GACGAACGCUGGCGGCGCGCCUAACACAUGCAAGUCGAACGGAGCUGAGAGGAGCUUGCUUUUCUUAGCUUAGUGGCGAACGGGUGAGUAACGCGUGAGUAACCUGCCCUGGAGUGGGGGACAACAGUUGGAAACGACUGCUAAUACCGCAUAAGCCCACGAUCCGGCAUCGGAUUGAGGGAAAAGGAUUUAUUCGCUUCAGGAUGGACUCGCGUCCAAUUAGCUAGUUGGCGAGGUAACGGCCCACCAAGGCGACGAUUGGUAGCCGGACUGAGAGGUUGAACGGCCACAUUGGGACUGAGACACGGCCCAGACUCCUACGGGAGGCAGCAGUGGGGGAUAUUGCACAAUGGGGGAAACCCUGAUGCAGCGACGCCGCGUGGAGGAAGAAGGUUUUCGGAUUGUAAACUCCUGUCGUUAGGGACGAUAAUGACGGUAC
rnacentral:rRNA from 1 species